CUGAGCAGGUCCUCCUAAGGAGCGUCAGCCCGACAGGGACACCACGCUGAGCCCAGGCUGGGUCAGCGGAACCAGAGUCCACCUGCAGACCCACGAACAGGAGAUCUUGCUCACUUCUGGGAAAUCUGUGAGGCAGGGCCUGCUUUGUCCCCCCGGAGGACAGCUGGGGGACUCGGCCUAUCCCCUCCAGCUGGGUCAGCACCUGCUGUGCCGCACACCGGCUCCUCACACGCCAGUGGGAGUGCACCCUUUUCCACUGAGAAUCUUCAGCUUCCGUCCGUGAUUGUUGGCUGAAUCCAGAGAGAAGUAGAAAG